rnacentral:rRNA from 1 species
UACGUAGGGUGCGAGCGUUGUCCGGAAUUAUUGGGCGUAAAGAGCUUGUAGGCGGUUUGUCGCGUCUGCCGUGAAAAUUCGAGGCUCAACCUCGAACUUGCGGUGGGUACGGGCAGACUAGAGUGUGGUAGGGGAGACUGGAAUUCCUGGUGUAGCGGUGAAAUGCGCAGAUAUCAGGAGGAACACCGGUGGCGAAGGCGGGUCCCUGGGCCGAUACUGACGCUGAGGAGCGAAAGCGUGGGGAGCGAACAGG